rnacentral:rRNA from 1 species
UACGUAGGGCGCAAGCGUUGUCCGGAAUUAUUGGGCGUAAAGAGCUCGUAGGCGGCUUGUCACGUCGGGUGUGAAAGACCGGGGCUUAACCCCGGUUCUGCAUUCGAUACGGGCUAGCUAGAGUGUGGUAGGGGAGAUCGGAAUUCCUGGUGUAGCGGUGAAAUGCGCAGAUAUCAGGAGGAACACCGGUGGCGAAGGCGGAUCUCUGGGCCAUUACUGACGCUGAGGAGCGAAAGCGUGGGGAGCAAACAGG